AUGCGUCUCCAAUCUCGCCUCACUCCUCCCCCAAAAUCUCACCUUCCCCCGCGUGCUCCGGCUGCUUUUGGCCACCGAUACGCUGCGCCGGCGCUCCAAAGUUCCAGGCCAGGAGAAGCUGGAAUUCCAAAUCGUAGUCCGUGUGAACCAGUUGAACCGCAUCAAUCUUAUCAAGUCAUCUAAUAAAAAAAGAUUCUCCCCAGAUCUGCUUUUUUGGGCCGAACCACGUGGAGUAAUACCCCUGAAGUUCAGUGACUACAUCAACCAGGUACUUCGUACACACUUUGGUCUGUCACCAUCAAUGUUAUUUAAUCUACCAGUUCAUGCACAUAUGUACAAUUGGGAUUCUAUUUUUUCGUUUAAAUUAUGAAACAUUGCAUGUGUUCCUCGUUUUGCUAGUGCAACAGUGUAUAUUUAUAUACCGAAAGCUAACUUCCUAUAACUUUUAUAAAAUACCGUAGGAAGUUAUGUUUAUUUCCUAGAGCUACCAGUUGCUCGGAAGUUAUUUAUUUCCUACGGUUUGUUAUAAAAGUUGUAGAAAGUUAAAAAACCGUAGGAAUUGUAUGAUUUUGGUGUAGUGUUUUAUAUCCUCGUCUACACACAAUCAUCAACAUGAUGAAAAACAGGUAAAAAUGCAUUUGUGAUAAUAUAAGAGUUCAAGCAUGACAACUAAAAAAGGGAAAAAGAUUCUCACCAGUCUGGUCUAUCCCGUACACUUUGAUGCUGACGUCAUUAAAUUGUCUUGCUAAAUGAUGAUACCUCCCACUGUCGCAGCUAUCCAAGGAAAGUCAGGGUCAGCCAUCCUGUACCAACAAACCGGUAUAGCUAGAAAAAUCAUUUCUAAAUAAACUGAUAGGAACAUGAAGUGCUCUUGCUUCUUACCUGUGCUUGUUUAGCUCAUGUAUGGCAAUAACAAAAUCCACUAAAUAUUAUGCAUAAGGCAAAUAUUAGGCACAAAGUCCAUGUUCUGAAAGCAAAAAACGUGAGUCCUAUGCAAAUAGCAUGUUUGGAAAAACUUGACUAAAACCCCAUAUAUGAGGUAUGGUACAUGAUAUAUUUCAGGAAACCAUCUAUGUUUCUUACUUUCUUGUUUAUUCAGUUUCAUUAUUUCUUGGAGAAAAGAUAAACAUGCUCCUUUGGUGCUAGAAGCAAUGUGGCUUUAUUCUCCAACAUAAACACAGUUGAUGACAUGAGUGGCCUUACAUUUGGAUUCUCUUCGACACAGAAAAGUCCUACAUUAGUACACCUAUAGACAUCUGAUUUCAUUCAGGUGAAACUGUUUGCAUCGAAGCACAGACUUUGUUUUCCUUUUUUGUCGAUACAUUGAAGUUUGAAAAGGCCACUAUUUUACUUAGCUAAUUGAUUAAGCGUCUAUGUUCUUCAAACUUUUUUUCAAUGUUUAGGGUUUCCAUGGUUUUAGCUUUUUGACCUAUUCCUUAGUUUCUGUGCUCCAUUCUAAGACCUGUAUAUCACACGUAUUUCAUUUGGCCACCAAACAUUGAGGUUCUAAGAUGCCACUAUUUUACUUUGCGAAUAGACUGAACGUCUAUGUUCUUUAAAUUUUUCCCCAAAAUUUACUGUUUAUGGUUUUCCCUAAAUUUAGCUUUUGGAUUUAAUCCCUGGUUUCUCUGUUUCAUUCUAAGAUGUGUGUGUAGCCUACGUUUCAUUUGGCCAACAAAACAGUUUUUGUGCUCGUAGGUUGCUGCAGGACAAUUUUGGGUCCAUAAUGGUCAUAGGAACUCUACUGUCUACUUCUUGUAGAACAGAAAAAAUAAUUCAGUUCGCCUUCGUUGAAUCUAAUUUCGAUUUUAUAUCUUCAUGGCUUUUUUUCCUCUUUUAAAAAGUCAGACCUUACUCCUGUCCCUCUCCCCUCUUUAUUCUAUUCUCUCACUAUCUGAUGUCAUUCCAUUUGUGCAACAGAAAAAAAUUGCACUUUCUUUCAUCUUGGAAUAUGCUUGCUUUCAGUUUCUGAUUUUAUUGUAGUUGCUUGCUAAGUGAUUCACAGCAUCUGGUGCAAGAAGAUAGUAGAGAAAAUAAACAAAUUACAUAGCUCGUAGCUAUUGGCUAAUUAGUGUAGUUCAUACUUCAUAGCCCUUUUUUGCUGCAAGAAUAACCUGAGCAAACUCAUUCCUAAAAUAUAUGUUCAAAAAAUGUUCUGUGCUGAAAAUACACAGUGCACAUUGAACACUGCUAUUAUGUUCAUUAUGUUCUGUGCUGAAAAUACACAGUGCGCACUGAAAAUACACACUACCAAAAAAUGUUCCUGCAACACAGUUCUUAGUAAACUUGCUUCUAUGCUGCUCUUUUUUUUCCUUAUAUAUCAUCAUAACAGUGUGUUAGACUGUUAGCCUCUUGAUAUAUCUUAUUCGAGAAACACUUUAACUUUUCAAUUAAGUUUUUGUAACUUGAGAUCUUAGACAUAACAUAGCUUGUUGUGCUAAUAGACUUAGUACCUGCUUGCGGUGAUCAGAGGGAAAGAUAAAAUAAACAUAUUGUAUGUUAUUGUUUCUCUCUUUUCAAAAAAAUGUUAUUUGUUUUAUGAUCCUAAUAUUACAUUGUGCUCUUUGGUGCUGUUUAUGCUAACAUACUACUCUCAUUUGUAUACAUGUAUUGUUUCUUUUUUUGCAAGCAUAGAAGAGGCUCCAUCACUUUUGGUCAUGAGACUUUUAUGUAUAUAUUAACCUGAUGUUGAAGCCUUCCUAGAACUGUGUGUCUAUGCAAGAAAGACUGGUCACUUUUGAUCAAUAGACUUUUAUUUGCACGCAUAGAAGAGGCUCCAUCACUUUUGGUCAUAAGACUUUUAUAUAUAUAUUAAUCUGAUGUUGAAGCCUUCCUAGAACUGUGUGUAUGCAAGAAAAGCUAGGUCACUUUUGGUCAAUAGACUUUUAUGUACAUAUGGCUCUAGUUGAAGUCUUCCUAGAACUAUGUUUGUCUAUGUAAACUCUACAGAUACACUAUUGCUGGACACUCAAGUAUACCAGUUUAAUGCAACUUGCUACUUACUGUAAUCUAAAUUUGUAUU
rnacentral:lncRNA from 7 species